CAGGACUGACUUGCCUAUUUCCAGUGAGUCUCUGCAUGGCUAGGAGACUGUAGUCUCCGGUACUUCUCACAGCUGUCCACAUCCAUCGCGCCCACUGCAUUGGGGACAAAAUUUGCCAUGAAGUGAAAGCCAUUUCAUCCCAAAGAAGCGCUCUACAAGUCGUCCUCAUACAGUACGUGGAAUCAAGGACUUCUUUGACUUAAUUAAAAUUAAAAGAAAACUCCAUACUGCCAAGCCAUAAAUUCUGUCUGCAUUCUUGAAGCUUUUGGAUUAUCUUAAGCAGCUCCCUGUCAGACGAAGUGCAAGUGCUCGACUUGCUUUCUGUUACAUUUGCUUAGAUCUCUCAGCAUGACGCCUGCGUGUGCUACAGGAGAAAAGAGCCCAACGUUGUUCCUGACAGCUCAAGGGGUUGGAUGGACCGGACUCUCUCCGACUAGCUCUGCAGAAUCCCAAUGAGAGCUCCGUCUCGCUAGCUAUGUUGUCUCAGCACACACAGCUGCUUGGACUCUGCCAUUAACUCCGCAACUAUUUGAUUACCACUACACCUGCGCAAAGCAAAAGGAUUUUAGCUAAGUAUUAUCCUCUUUUGUUUGGUUGAUGGGGUUUCCUUUUUCUUUUUUGUUUUAUUUUUGUUCACUGGCCAGGCCUCCUGUAAAUAAAGUUACCUCCUGCCAGGAGAAGUGCACAAAGAUUGAAGUAUUGCAUCUGUUUAUCCAUUAUUUUUAUGUCAGCUUCUCAACAUACAUUCUUUGUUUCAAAAGCUCAGAUCAUAUUUGUUCAAGACGCUAUGAGACGGAGUGAGUUAAUGGGAAGCAGCGGGAUGUAACUUUUUAAAUUACCUCCCUUCAAAUAUGCAAUCCCCUUUAAGUUUACAAUAAUGUAAAGACCAAAAAGGACUGUAAACAAAGAGCUUCUGUAAAUUGAAAUAGAGCCACAUUAUGAGUGUCCUUAAAACCAAAGCAAUGUUUUUCCUUUCCCUAACAAAUUUAGGAAACUUUAACCGCAAUCAAAACAUUUCAAGGGAAAACAGCUAUUGUUUGAUUAUUUUUAACAGAGAAAAAGUAAAUGUUUCCUAGCCUAAAACCUAAAAUUAGAAAGUUACAGUCUAAGAAAAGGACUGAAAAUUGCACAAUUAAGAGUACAGUAUAUCAAUUCCUUGAUGUUUUUUACACCACAGAAUGGAUUUUUUUUUCCUUCCCCUCAGACAUAUGAAUAUAAUUUUAUUACAUCAGGAUAAAUAUACAGUAGUCCUAAAACGGUAAUAGCAUACUAUUUUGAACAUUUAGUUUCUAGAUAUAUAAUAUACAGCACAAGUUAUAUGUAUUGUUUAUGUACAUAUACAAUUCUAUAUUAUAUACAGUGUGCUGAAAAAGUUUCCACACCUUAGUCACACUUAUUAUUAAUGUAUAAUUGUGCUUGAUGACACAUCUUCUAUUUUUAUGUUGGCACUGCUGAGAGGUUACUUCUGUUUGUUUCUCUUUAUAACAGAAGUACCAUAAUUGAGCUCAUGUUUUCUAUGGGUAAUGGGGCCACCACCCACACUCCAACUGUUGGAUGAAUCUGGAGGAAACACCAAGAAUUCAAAUGAACUUUUCUACAUAAGACAAAGGAAUGCCCUAUACUUAUGUCAAUGAAGAAUAAAAUAACCAUAAAAUUGUGAAAUCAAAUUCUGUUGCCUUCAUGAAUCUGCAGGCAGUUCUAAUGCCAUUGCUGAAGUUCAUAGUUUUCUUCAUUAUCAUCAUCAUCAGGAGCAGCAACAGAAUGACAGUGAAAAGAUCCCUGCCUCUAUCACUGCUGCUAAGCCAGUGAGCAACAUUGAAGCCAAUAAAUAACAUAUCAAAUUCAUUCUGAUGCUGCUUGUGAUAUUAUGACUAGCAACACAGUCGAGAAAUUAAGCUAUUCAGAGGGAAAUGGAAAGAAUGAUCUAAUACCAAAGAGGUCCUCCCCAUCGCAGCCAGCAGGUUGUGGAAGGAGCAGAGCUAUGGAUGCCUGUGCAUGCACAGACACACAGACGCAGACACACACACACACACACACACACACACACACACACACAGAGCUGGACUUCCAACAACUGCUAGGAAGUUUGGGAAGCGGCAAAAGAUAGAGUAAGAAAACACCAAUUCCUCCCAGUAGCCAAGAUGAUGCAGGAUUCCUUGAACUUUGGGAUGAAUGAUGGAGUCCAGACACAGGUCCAGACAUGAUCCAUGACAAGGGUUCAGGUCCUAUCUUUCAGUUCCAGCUUUGGAUGGAGCUCUCCCCAAAUGAACUCCCUGGUUUAGUUAUUUUUCCAAGUGAUAAAGGUUUAAGAUACUAAAUAAACAGAAGAAGAAGUGCACAUGCAGAAUUUUUUGGACCAGAGAGCAUGACAGGAAAUGCAAAAAUAACACUGGAUCAAACACAUCCUGGCAUGCACUAUAACAAAUAGGGAAAAUUCACUGUUCCCACUUUCAUCUGGAAACCUUGGGAUUUUGUCCAGCUAUUACACAAAUCUCAAGAGGAAAUAAUGAAGGAAAUGACUUGGGCUCGCUUCUCUGCCUCACCUUUGGCCUCAUGGAAACCCCUCCCUCCCCAUGAGAUACUUCACCCUCCCUUUUAAUAAUGAAACUGAAGUUUGCACUGGAAAAGCAAGUCAUCAGUUACUGCAGUCUCAGAAAUAAAGUUCAUUGUCAUUAUAGCUGCAAAAUAUUCAAAACGUGAGAAUUUCUCCUUUUAUUGUCUCUCCUCCCUGUUCACUCCAUUAAACUGCUACAAUCACUAGAAUGAAGUGAAUCCAGGUGUCACUUGGAGACAAGGUUCAGUAAAAAAUCUGCUACAUUGCUGAUAGGAUUUUCUCAGCCUUAUCAAGAAUGUUGUAUUUUUUCAGGCUUUUCUUGAAAUUUAUAGCCCAGCAAUAGAUACCAUGCAACUGUGCAUGUAGGACACAUCCAGCAAAGCAAAGAUAAAUGGUUAUCUUCAAAAGUGAAUCCUGACUGGGCAAAGGACCAAGAGAUUUAGCACAGGUUUUGUUGCAUGAGUGGUUUAAAUAAGGUUCAUCAUUCUUAAUGUUGAAUACAGUGGCCCAGUUUUCAGAACUGUUGUAUGCACACGUGUGGCAUUAUUUGCCUCAAUGGAGUUGCUUCCCUUGAAGCAAACUCUAUGUUUGUAUCAUUUUUUUUCUUAGUAUGCCAAGAAAAUGCCCUUCCCAUCUGUCCAGAAGCUUUAUGCAGCUCUCAUCCGCUGGCUACUCUAGCCCACAGUUCAGUGAUGCAUAAUUGAAUGGGAUUUUAGAGACGGAGAGUUCAAACCCCUUCUAGCAAACCGGCAGCACUGGAAUGAAGAGAUACCAUGCACCUCUUCCCCUGCACAGACAGAUGGGGGAAGGUAAAAUGAUGCCACAAUACAAGCUGAAUGCCAUUUAAAGAUUGGAGACAGCCAAAACAUCAGCAAAGCCUACUUUUAGGCUUCUUUGUGCCACUAGAAUUACUAAAAAAGCUGGACCACUGAGUAGCACAUAAUUCUCUGUAUUUAAACUGUGUAUAUCUUCUCCCUAAACCUCACAAUUUACCAUUAAGGAAAGAACAGACAAAUCUGCCAAAAGUUGAAGCAUGGCCCAGAACUGGAGUCUCUCUCACAUGCUGGGUACAUAGACAUUAUCGCUUUAACUGGCAGAUUUACUGUAUCCACCAUAUGCUCCACCAAACUUGUCCUUAACUUGUAAGUAUUCAAGUAAACCAUAUACAAUAUUCAUUUUUCUUUAUGCAGAUAUCUUGUUUUAGUGAUACCAGGCCACACAGAUUUGAAUAAACAUUGUGCAGUAGAUUCAUAAACUGGAAAAUGAUCUGCUUCACACAUGUACUGACUUCAGUAUUCUCCAACAGAAAAUACAGCCUAUACAUCCCACCUCUGUGCAAAAAUGUUUUAAGGGUAAUAAAAUUAAUACAACACUC